rnacentral:ribozyme from 1 species
UUCAACAUACUCAAGACCAAGCUCACCAAGAGCGGAUUUCUCCUUCUGUUCGUUCUCCCCUCUCUCACCCCUCUUCUCCCCCCUCCAAUUUCUUUCCUUCUUCCUCUCCUUUGAAUAAAG